rnacentral:SRP_RNA from 1 species
UCUGGGUAUGUUGAUGCACACCUGUAGUCCCAGCUACUUGGGAGGCUGAGGUGGGAGAAUCUCUUGAACCUGAGAGGCGGAGGUUGCAGUGAGCUGAGAUUGCGCCACUGCACUCCAGCAUGGGUGACUCUGUCUCAAAAAAAAAAAAAAAAAAAAAAGAUUAAAGGAAAAAAAGACUGGCGGAAGUUCAGUAGGUUAAGUGGACUAGAAGUUAUUAAAAUCUUUUUUUUUUUUUUUUUUUUAGUAGACAGAGUCACCCAUGCUGGAGUGCAGUGGCGCAAUCUCAGCUCACUGCAACCUCCGCCUCUCAGGUUCAAGAGAUUCUCCCACCUCAG